rnacentral:tRNA from 1 species
UGCCCCAUGGCUGAGUUGGUUACAGCGUCCGACUGUUAGCACUUGCUUAAAUCGGAAGGUCGUCAGUUCGAGCCUGACUGGGGCAG